AGUGAACGCUGGCGGUAGGCCUAACACAUGCAAGUCGAACGGCAGCACAGUAAGAGCUUGCUCUUACGGGUGGCGAGUGGCGGACGGGUGAGGAAUACAUCGGAAUCUACUUUUUCGUGGGGGAUAACGUAGGGAAACUUACGCUAAUACCGCAUACGACCUACGGGUGAAAGCAGGGGAUCUUCGGACCUUGCGCGAUUGAAUGAGCCGAUGUCGGAUUAGCUAGUUGGCGGGGUAAAGGCCCACCAAGGCGACGAUCCGUAGCUGGUCUGAGAGGAUGAUCAGCAACACUGGAACUGAGACACGGUCCAGACUCCUACGGGAGGCAGCAGUGGGAAAUAUUGGACAAUGGGCGCAAGCCUGAUCCAGCCAUACCGCGUGGGUGAAGAAGGCCUUCGGGUUGUAAAGCCCUUUUGUUGGGAAAGAAAAGCAGCAGGUUAAUACCCCGCUGUUCGGACGGUACCCAAAGAAUAAGCACCGGCUAACUGCGU
rnacentral:rRNA from 1 species